rnacentral:sRNA from 1 species
UACAUCAGUUCGUUGACUGAGUACAAGC